rnacentral:lncRNA from 1 species
AUAAUAAUAAUAAUAAUAAUAAUAAUAGCAAUAAAUGUUAUAACAAUACGUGUCAUGAUUUAACUGUUAAUAUAAGCACUGGGGAUAGACAAUUUUGCGACUGUAAUAAAUGCUGCAAAAAUAAAGAAAACACUUCAUGUGGAACUAUAAAUAAAUCCAACAAAAUUAAUGACAUAUUUACAAAUUCUGACAUACUAUGUAAUGUUUUAUCAUUUUUAUCAUUUUAUGAAAGAUGGCAAUGUAAAACAUUAAAUAAAUAUUUUUACAAAGCGUUUAAUACGAAGUUUUCAUGGGCAACUUUAGAUUUUCGUUUUAUUAAUAUAAAUCUGUUUAAUAGUACUUUUUUAGAUAAAUAUAAUAACUUUUUUAUAAAAACAAUUUCUUUGUCUUUAUCGAUAAAUGAAAAUGAAACUGUAGAACAUGUAAUAAAUUUUAUUAUUAAAUAUUUUAAAAAUUUAAAAGAUUUACGUUUAUAUUUCAGAAAAGAACAUAGUACUUUUAUUUAUGAAGGUGUUCAUCCAACUGUAUCAACUAUUUUGAAUUGCAAGUUAUUUAACUCGAGCCAAUAUGGUUCAUAUGUUUCAAAAAAAAAAAAAAAAAAAAAAAAAAAACUAGUUAAUGAUACUGAUUGUACAGAAAAAGGACAUAGUGACACUUGUAGUAAUAAUAGUAGAAAUAGUAGCGAUAGUGAUAAUUGUUAUAGUGAUAAAUAUAGUAGUGAUAAUUAUAGUAGUGAGUGCAGUUGUAGUAUUAUAUACACUGAUUCAGAAGCUCCUAACAGUAACAGUAGCAGUAAUAGUAACAGUAAUAGUAGCAGUAAUAGUAACAGUAAUAGUAAUAGUAAUAGUAAUAGUAAUAGUAAUAGUAAUAGUAAUAGUAAUAGUAAUAGUAAUAGUAAUAGUAACAGUAAUAGUAACAGUAAUAGUAACAGUAAUAGUAANNNNNNNNNNAGUAAUAGUAACAGUAAUAGUAACAGUAAUAGUAACAGUAAUAGUAAUAAUAAAACAAAAAAACAUGUUAAGAAUAAAAAAAGUUGUACUUGUAGUAAUAAUAGUGAUAACUCAAUUUUUAAAACUAAUACAUAUGAAUGUGCGCAAAACAAUAAACACAUUUAUAAAAAACGUGAAAAAUGUGAAAAAUGUGAAAAACGUGAAAAAUGUGAAAAACAUAAAAACAAAAACAACCGAAACAAAGAUGGAGACAGUGCCAAAAUAAAAUACUAUACGAACAAAUAUAUAAAUGCAAGAUUAUAUACAACAAAAAAUUUUAAUUCAUUUAACUCAUUAAUGAAUCUUGAAAGACUUAUUUUGGAUGUUGAAAUAAAAGGACAUGAGCUUGUUUGUUUUGUUGGGAAAUUAAAUAAUUUAAAAGAUAUAAUAAUAAGUAAAUUAGUUUAUUCAGACAUUUUAAACAGAUCACAAACUAUAACUAUUUUUACUUGUUUUAUAGAACAAAUAAAACAUAAUACUAUUCGAUUGAUACAAUUAGGGUUAUAUCAUAAAAAUGAACAAAAACCUAUUGAUUACUUUAAUAAUGAGCAUUUUAGGAAUAUUGUAAACAGCCGAAAAAGUUAUGUUCUAAAUAAUAAUAAAGAAGAGGGAGAUGAAUUAAUUUCUGUCUUGCAUAAAAAUCAGUUAAAAUCUUUGUACUGUUUAUGGAGUAGUGACCUUUUUAUAUCUUAUGAAAUGUUUAGACAGAUACAAAAGUUUAGCAACUUAAAAGUGUGGAUACUUCCAGGAUGGCGUGCAUUAUCUUUAGCAAAUCAGUGAACAUGUUGUGCGUAUUAUAUAUGUGCACAUAUAUGUAUGUAUGUAUGUGUGUUCUUUUUUUUUUUUUUUUUUCUUUUUUUUCUCAUUUGAUCACUUGUAUUAAUAAUAUAAAAGGAAAUAAAAUAUAUAAUGCAUGGCA